rnacentral:rRNA from 1 species
AACGAACGCUGGCGGCAGGCUUAACACAUGCAAGUCGAGCGCCCCGCCAGGGGAGCGGCAGACGGGUGAGUAACGCGUGGGAACGUACCUUUUGGUUCGGAACAACUCCGGGAAACUGGAGCUAAUACCGGAUAAGCCCUAACGGGGAAAGAUUUAUCGCCUAAAGAUCGGCCCGCGUCUGAUUAGCUAGUUGGGGGGGUAACGGCUCCCCAAGGCGACGAGCAGUAGCUGGUCUGAGAGGAUGAUCAGGCACACUGGGACUGAGACACGGCCCAGACUCCUACGGGAGGGAGCAGUGGGGAAUAUUGGACAAUGGGCGCAAGCCUGAUCCAGCCAUGUCGGGUAAGUGAUGAAGGCCUUAGGGUUGUAAAGCUCUUUUGUCCGGGAAGAUAAUGACUGUACCGGAAGAAUAAGCCCCGGCUAACUUCGUG